UUUCCAUGAUGAUAACUUUGUCCAGUUCUGCUACUGAUUAAAAGUGGUGACAUCGAAGACACCUGAGAAA
ensembl:snoRNA